GUAAGUUUACAAUCAUAAUUUCUCAAGUUUAUAUUUAUAUUAUUAUACUUUUUUUUAAAAGAAAGUUUAUCAUAUAUUAUUAUACUUGUGUAUAAUGAUGUUUAGACUAUUUAUUUACACCUCGAAUGUUAAUUUUGUCUUAUAUGAAUAUUGAUAUUUUUUUAAGGACGAAUAUUGAUUAUACUAUAUAUAUAAUUAUAAUUAAUAUAUUAUAAUAUUAUUUUUUACAUCUUGAUUAAUUUUAUCAAAAAAAAUCUUGAUAAUUGUGGUUCGAUUCUUUGAUUUUUUUGUUAAAUUAAAAAUAUUUAAAAUUUUGAGAUAAUUGCUUAUGUAAUGUCACAUCCAAACACUUCAAUUUAUGUAAGUACUUUUUAGUGUACAUAUCCAAACAUAAAUAGCUUAUCAAGUAUAAGAGCUUAUGAUGUAAGCUAUAAUGUUAUAAGCAUCUAUAUAAGCUGUUUAUCCAAACGGGGUCUAAUAAGUAUCAAAGACUAUUAAAAAACCAUAUAGUCAACAAAUUUAUAUGAAAGCUUAUUCAUUCAGAAGAUGAGCUAUGUAUUGGAUCUUCUAGUCACAUUCUUUGUCAUAUGGUCAUCACUUAAUUUCAAAUCAUUUGAAAUAAGUUUACCAUUCGGUCGAAGAAAUGUCUCUGAACGAUUAAAGUUAUAUUCCAUCCAAAGCAUCAAUUUCAAAAGCUAGGAAGAUUUUGUAGAUAAUCACAUGACAGAGUUUUCAACAAAAGAGUUAGUUUUAUUUUAUGUAAAAGAUAAUGUUAGUGAGAUUCACGUUAUAGCUCUUCAAAAUUCACGUUGAAUAUACACUCGGUAGAUAUUCCCACAUAAAAUGGAUCCUAAAGAUAGUGUUAGUGAUAAUUGUUCAUAGGAACAUUAAAUAAAGUGGUUAUAAUAUUCAUAACUUUGAAGGUAAACAUGACUAUUUAGUAAAAUAUAUGCAUUAAAGUAAAGACGGGAAUCAAACCAAGUUCAAAGAAAACUUUAAAUCUAAUCAAUAUUAAUGCAGUUUCUCUAGACAUAGUCGAACAAAAUAAACACGAAUAUAAAAGAGAUGGGGCUUAAGAAAACCAAACAAUAUUCUUAAAAAAAUUAAAAAAAAAACCAAAAUGUAACACCACAAAGAUAAUUUUAUACGCCACAGAGAGUUUAACACCUACACACGACGCCCUUUCUUGUUUUUUAUAUCUUGUCAGUCUCUGUUUGUCUUGAGUGGUGACCUGGUUAUUAAUAAAUUUAGUUGUUCAAAAAAGUGAGACUUAUUAUAUGGGGGUGCAUUUAGCAUAUGAUAAUGUGUAACUUGCAAAGCCCACAAGUGUGCUCUCUUGGCUUGCAGAAGCACAAAAUUGGUUGCCUUACUUCAAGAGCACAUAAGUGAUUAUGUAAAAUAUGGUCUUUUUGUUUAAGCAACAUGACACUAACCUAAAUCACUUUUAGUAAACCCUAUUCUUUCUGAAACCCUGAAACUAAACCCUCUUUCCUCUUUCUAAGUGUUCAUCAAAUUAGCUAGCACAAUGAGUACAUGAGUUAUGUUAGUGUAGACUGAGUAAAAACAUCGCUAUUUUUCUUUUCUAAUGGUCAUCCUUACACUUGAUAAUCGUAUAUUCUAAAUUUAGAAGUAGAAUAAAUAAUAAAUAUUUUUUACCAAUGAAUAAAUAAUAAAUAUUAAUAAUGAUAUAUUGACAUUAUUAAUUAAAGUGAAUAAUAAUUAUGUACUGACAUUGUUAUUUUUAUAUUGUUAUUGUCAAAAAGAUUUAAAGGCAGGCGAAACAUUUUUUCAAGAAAAAACAAAGUGCAAAUGACAAACUUGACAUCUAAACUAUGUUGGCUUCCCAUUAUUAUAAUCUAUAAUUUGCAGCACUCUAAAAUUAUUAUAAAUAAAUAAAUGAAAAAUGAAAAUUACAAAUAUUGAGGGGACUAGACCAAAACCUAAUAAAAGUUAACCAAGUGAUUUUAGAAUGUCCCUUGUUAACCUAUUGGGAUAAAACCCGAGUACGGGAAAAAGGUACAUAACAACUAAACAACAUAAAGGCAACAUAAACAUAAAUCAAAGUGCAUAGGAUAUGACAUGAAAAUAAAUUAUAUGUAACAUAUAAUUAUUUUACAUAUUAAUGGUUAAUAAUCCAACCACAAACAAAAUAAGUUAACGCACAACAAGUAUUGUUCAGGAAUGUUACACCCAAUUUUGUGGUUAUUUACUCGACAAUGAAUGUGACUGUUGCAUGAAACAAACACUGCAAUGUAAAAUAACAUUAAAGUAUUUUUAUUAAAAGAGUAUGAAAUAUUGUGUCUAAUAUAAAUAAGAAAAUGAGAAAAUAAUGUCGAAAAUUACUUACCGCCAUUGGUUACAUGGAGAUAUGUAUAAAGGAAGAUUAUCAGAGCAAAAAAAACUUUGAAAUGUGAGUCAUUGUUUUGAAAAAUUUUAAAGAGAUCGUUUUUGUAAAAUGAUAUGAACUUGGCGUGAUUUUGUGAUUUCAUGGAAUUGGCCUAGGAUACUUGUAUGCCUAAGAUACAAUGGAUUAACCAUUUUAUAAGUAAAAGUUUAUUGCUUGAAUUGACAUCAAUUAAAUAAAUUAAAGCUAUUGUUAAAUGGCUCUAAGGUAUAUCAGUGUGCCAAGUUUAUCCUUUAGCGCACUCAAUUAACCAGUUAAGCAUAAUAAAGAUCUCAAAUAAAAAAAAAUUAAGCCCAUAAAAAAUUUAGUAGAUUUUUUUAUUUUUUAGCCUAUCAUGAUAGAGAGGGGACAAAAUACCCAAAGAUAAAUAAUGGCAAGGUAAUUAAAAUCGGAUCGAACCAUCUGGUUUAACUAGUUGAACCGGGAACCGGACCUAUGUCUGGUCUGAAAUAAAAAGAAAACGGGUGUUGCAACGAACCGGGAAACCAGAUAAUAAAGAUUUGUUGUGCAUAAAAAUUAAAUAACAGUAAAUAAAUAUUGUUUGGAAAAGUUAUGGAGAGAGAUGAGACUAGGUCUUCCGAAUCAUUUGAUUUUCCUUAAUUGGUACACUACACCUACUUCUCAUGAAUAUUUUUUUAGUUUUAUGAUGAUUAACUAAAAUAGCCCUAAUCAAUCCCUUGACUUAGGACCCUCUUCUCAGAUUACAACCCCUAAAUCCUUAGGUGAUCUAAUAUUCUUUGAAGGUUUGAAGAAUGUUAACCUAAUAUCACAAAUACUUGAUUGAGGUGUAUUGUUUUGAAAAAUGUCAAAAAGAUUGUUUUUGUAAAAUGAUACGAACUUGGCGUGAUUUUGUGAUUUCUUGGAAUUGGCCUUGAAUACUUGUCUGCCUAAGCUACUAUGGAUUAACCAUUUUAUAAGUAAAAGUUUAUUGCUUUACCAACAUCAAUUAAAUAUAUUUUAACACUAAAGAGGUGAAAAAUUGUUUACUAUAUUAAAGUUAUUGUUAAAUGGCUCUAAGGUAUAUCAGUGUGCCAAGUUUAUCCUUUGGCGCACUCAAUUAACCAUUUAAGCAUAAUAAGGAUCUCAAAUAAAAAAUUUAAACCCGGCAAAAAUUUAGUAGAUUUUUUAUUUUUUAGCCUAUCAUGAUAGAGAGGGGACAAAAUACCCAAAUAUAAAUAAUGGCAAGGUAAUUAAAAUCGGAUCGAACCAUCUGGUUUGACUCGUUGAACUAGGAACCAGAACUAUGUCUGGUCUGAAAUACAAAGAAAACUGGUGUCGCAACGAACCGGGAAACCAGAUAAAAACUGGAUGAACCGGGAAAACCAGCGGGCUACACGGUUUGGCAGGUUGAACCGCAUUUUACAAUUUUUUUGAAAAAAAAUCUCAAACCAGAUUUGUUAUGCCAUAAGUCUGAACUAAGAAAAGUUAUGGUGGUUUUAUAGCAAGAAGACAUAAAUCUAAGUAGAAUAAAAAUAUAGAGGAGACCAUGAAAUGGAGAUCUUGGAGAAAAAACGAAAAGGAUAAUCAUAGUUGGUGGGUUGCGUUGCUGCUAUUUAGAAAUUAGGGUUAGUGUGACAUUUAUACUUAUAAUAACUGAUAGACUUUUAGAAGGUGUACUAAAACUAUUGAACUAAUACAAUUAAUGUUGUUUCCAUGAGAACAAUAUUAAUCUCAAGUAAACGAUAGCAUUAUGAAAUAGGAUGUGUAAAGUUAUUUAGUGCCUGAGACAGUAGAUUUGUUGUGCAUAAAAAUUAAAUAACAGAAAAUAAAGAUUGUUUGGAAAAGUUAUGGAGAGAGAUGAGACUAGGUCUUUCGAAUACUUUGAUUUCCCCUAAUUGAUACACUACACCUAUUUCUCAUGAAUAUUUCUCUAGUUUUACGAUGAUUAACUAAAAUAGCUCUAAUCAAUCCCUUGACUUAGGACCCUCUUCUCAGAUUACGAUCCCUAAUUCCUUAGGUGAUCUAAUAUACUUUAAAGGUUUGAAUAACGUUAACCUAAUAUCACAAAUACUUGAUUGAGGUGUAUUGUUUUGAAAAAUGUCAAAAAGAUCGUUUUUGUAAAAUGAUACGAACUUGGCGUGAUUUUGUGAUUUCUUGGAAUUGGCCUAGGAUACUUGUAUGCCUAAGCUACUAUGGAUUAACCAUUUUAUAAGUAAAAGUUUAUUUCUCUAUUGACAUCAAUUAAAUAUAUUUUAACACUAAAGAGGUGAAAAGUUGUUUAUUAAAUUAAAGUUAUUGUUAAAUGGCUCUAAGGUAUAAUAAUGUGUCAAGUUUAUCCUUUAGCGCACUCAAUUAACAAGUUAAGCAUAAUAAAGAUCUCAAAUAAAAAAAUUUAAGCCCGUCAAAAAUUUAGUAGAUUUUUUUUAUUUUUUAGCCUAUCAUGAUUGAGAGGGGACAAGAUACCCAAAUAUAAAUAAUGGCAAGGUAAUUAAAAUCGGAUCGGACCAUCUGGUUUGACUAGUUGAACCGGGAACUGGAACUAUGUCUGGUCUGAAAUACAAAGAAAAUUGGUGUCGCAACGAACCAGGAAACCAGAUGAACCGGGAAAACCGGCGGGCUACACAGUUUUGCAGGUUGAACUGCAUUUUUAAAAUUUUUUGAAAAAAUAACUCAAACCAGAUUUGUUAUGUCAUAAGUCUGAACUAAGAAAAGAUAUGGUGGUUUUAUAGCAAAAGGACAUAAAUCUAAGUAGAAUACAAAUACAGAUGAGACCCUGAAAUGGAGAUCUUGGAGAAAAAAUGAAAAGGAUAAUUGUAACGCCCUAUUUUAAUAUUUAUUUAUUUUAUUGAGUUUAGGUGUCUUUCCAUAAUUUAGUCGAUUUAUUCUGAUGGGUGAUAUUUUGUUAUGUUAUAUGUUGGUAUUUAUUAGUAUAAUAUAUAUGUUAUUUGGUGUAGAAAUAUAUAUAUAUUAUCUGGUGUAGAAAUAUAUAUGUUAUUUGGUGUAGAAAUAUAUAUAUUAUCUUGUGUAGAAAUAUAUAUGUUAUGUGGUGUAGAAAUAUUAUGUUAUUUGGUGUAGAAAUAUAUGUUAUCUGGUGUAGAAAUAUAUUUCUUAUUUGGUGUAGAAAUAUAUAUAUAUAUAUAUAUAUAUAUAUAUAUAUAUAUAUAUAUAUAUAUAUAUGAGGGCAAAUUUAGAAAUAAGAGAACAUAAGUAGGUUAAUGAUUUUUAUAAAAGGGCAGAUUUGGAAAUAAGAGAAAAUAAGUAGGUUAAUGAAAGUUAGAAUUAGAAAAUAAGGAUUACGUGAAACUGCUUUUGAGAGAAAAGCGUGAAAGUGAGAAGUCAAGAGAAGAGAAGAGUCAGAGAAGAGAAAGUGGUAGAAUCUUGUAGAGUCCGAUCAUCUAAUCUAAGGUAAGGGUGGGACUAAAUUUCUCUAAUUCUAAGUUGUAUAAUUCUGAAAUUGAGUUUAGCAUGUUGUAGGUUGUAGUUAUGGAAAUUUGGGAAUUAGGUUUGAAGUUGUAAUUGGUUGUUAAUAGAGUAGAAAAUCCGUUGAAUUUGUGUAGAAGUGAUGUUUAGAUCAUGGGUUAUUUUUAGUGCAAUCUUUUAUAUGGUUUUGAGUGCCUUAACAUGUAUAGAAAUGGUUCGACAUGUUUUUUGGAUCAAAUUUGGGCAUAGGGAAGUUAAAAUUGGGAUUUUGGGGUGAAAAGUGGGUUUUUCCCGAGUUGCUCUCUGACAGCACGUCCUGUUUCAUGUUCUUGCGUCUUUUUCACACGUUUCUGUUUUGAAUUGGCCUUUGGUGUAAACAUGAAAGUUGUAGAUAAUUGAGUUAGCUUUCCAGUGGCUUUGAUUUGACGAGAAAAUGAUUUUUGGUUCUUGAGAUAUGAUGAAAAUACUCCAAGGAGGUUUUAGUGAAAUCUUAUGAAAAUUCAGCAUAACCGUUUCUAAUUUAAUCCAAAACUUAAGGAAUAAUUCCAAACCUCAAAACUAGAAGUACUAUGAGUUCAACUAGGGUGUUUAAGAUUAUUUAAGCUAUGUUGUGAUGGAUCUAAUUUGGUUUGACGUGAAUAUCUUUGUUGGAUAAUUUGAAAUACAUAUAUUAUGUGAAUGUUGUUGUUGAAUAAUUUGAGUUACAUAUAUUUAUGUGGAAAAGGUAUGAUAUAGAAAAUAAUGUUGUUAUACCAUUCAAGUUGUUAUUAUUAAUGAUGCUAUGUUGUGAAGUUGGUGUAUGUGUUUGUCUCUACUGUAUUGAUUAUUAAAUCAUUAAGUUGCAUAUGUUGGUCAAGUUGUUAAAGUUGUAAGUUGUUGUCAAUGUAGUUAAAGUUGUAAGUUGUUAUCGAUGUCGUUGAAGUUGUUAGUUGUCGUUGCAUUAGUUGUUGAGUCCAUGCAUACUCAUUUACGUUGAGGGCAUGAUGCCAUGUGAGCUUUUGCUCUUUAAGUUGAGGGCUUGAUGCCCUGGGAGUGUAUUUAUGCUCAAUACGUUGAGGGCUUGAUGUCCUGUGAGCUUUUGCUCUUUAAGUUGAGGGCUUGAUGCCCUGAGAGUGUAUUUUUGCUCAAUAUGUUGGGGGCUUGAUGCCCUGAAUUGGUACCACAUGCAUGAUUAAGAAGUUGAAGUUGCAUAUGUUGAGUUUAAGUUGUAGAAGUCGCAUUGUCGUUGUCGUUAAGUUGUCAUUUGUCAAUGAGUUGUUAAUAAAGAACUAAGCGAAGUAUUAAUAUUUAUUAAUCGUUGUUGUUUAUGUCGUUAUGAGAUGAUGUUUAUGAUGUUGUUAUUUAUGUCGUUAUGAGAUGAUGUUUAUGAUGUGUUGUUUAUGUUGUUAUAAGAUGAUGUUUAUGAUGUGAUGAUUAUGUCGUUAUAUGAUGAUGUUUAUGAUCUGAUUAUUAUGUGCUAUAUGAUGUUGUAUAUAAUGUGAUGAAUAUGAAGUUAAUAAUGAUUAGAAGUUGGUUGAGUUAUUAAUGAAGUAUUAUAACAAGAGUUAAUGUUAUUAAUUGAUGAAGUUUAAGUUGUUAAAUGCUUUUGAUGAAUUAUAUGCUUAUUAUUAUUGAAUGUGAAAUCUCACCCCUUCUGCUUGGAAAUGUUGCCCUCACAAUUGGGUAACUUGCAGGUAAUCUAGAAUAGUUGUGGUCGUGAGUGGACUCUCUCACGUGUCAUCGUCUUAAGUGCUCUGAUACGUAACGGGAUGAGAAUUUUGUUGUUGCUCUUUGUUCCUUACGUAUUAUUUUAUGAAGUUUUAUGAACAUGUUGUUGGAAUAAUUUUAUGAGAUUUUACCUUGAGGCCUUUGUGUCAAGGUUGUUUUAAACGUUAAAAUAAUUUCCGCUACAAUAAGAUUUAAUUUGAUGAUUGAGAUAAUUAGUAAUUUUACUAUAUUCAGAUUUGAAAGAAGUGUAACAUCCAGUUUUUAGUUGUUUACUCUGAUAUAAGUGAAAUUUUUCAAGUUGGGAAAACGGGGUGUUACAAUAAUCAUAGUUGGUGGGUUGCGCUGAUGCUGCUAUAUAUUCAGAAAUUAGGGUUAGUGUGUCAUUUAUACUUAUAAUAACUGAUAGACUUUUAGCAGGUGUACUGAAACUAUUGAAGUAAUACAAUUAAGUUCUUUUCCAUGAGAACCGUGUUAAUCUCAAGUAAACAAUAGCAUUAUGAAACAGGAUGUGUAAAGUUAUAUUAGUGCCCGAGGCAGCAGGUGCAUAAAAAUUAAAGGCUAAAAUAUGGUUUUGGUCCCUCAAAUAUGCCUCGUUUUGGUUUUAGUCACUGUAAAUUUUUUUUGUUGUUUUUGGUCCCUGCAAAUAUGCCUCAUUUUGAUUUUGGUCCCUGGCUCCACUUUUGUGAUGAUUUGCACACGUGGCACAUGAUGACUGAACCCAUUUAUUAGAGAAAUAGUCCCUGCAAAAUCUUUUGAUUUUACAAGGACCAAAAACAACAAAUUUUUUUUACAGGGACUAAAACCAAAAUGAGGCAUAUUUGCAGGGACCAAAACCAUAUUUUAGCCAAAAUUAAAUAACAGAAAAUAAAGAUUGUUUGGAAAAGUAAUGGAGAGAGAUGAGACUAGGUCUUUCGAAUCAUUUGAUUUUCCCUAAUUGGUACACUGCACCUAUUUCUCAUGAAUAUUUCUCUAGUUUUACGAUGAUUAACUAAAAUAGCCCUAAUCAAUCCAUUGACUUAGGAUUCUCUUCUCAUAUUACAAUCCCUAAUUCCUUAGGUGAUCUAAUAUACUUUAUAGGUUUGAAGAACAUUAACCUAAUAUCACAAAUACUUGAUUGAGGUGUAUUGUUUUGAAAAAUGUGAAAAAGAUCGUUUUUGUAAAAUGAUACGAACUUGGCGUAAUUUUGUGAUUUCUCGGAAUUGGCCUAGGAUACUUGUAUGCCUAAGCUACUAUGGAUUAACCAUUUUAUAAGUAAAAGUUUAUUUCUUUAUUGACAUCAAUUAAAUAUAUUUGAACACUAAAGAGGUGAAAAAUUGUUUAUUAAAUUAAAGUUAUUGUUAAAUGGCUCUAAGGUAUAUCAGUGAGCCAAGUUUAUCCUUUAGCGCACUCAAUUAACCAGUUAAGCAUAAUAGAGAUCUCAAAUAAAAAAAUUUAAGCCCAUCAAAAAUUUAGUAGAUUUUUUAUUUUUUAGCCUAUCAUGAUAAAGAGGGGACAAAAUACCCAAAGAUAAAUAAUGGCAAGGUAAUUAAAAUCGGAUCGGACCAUCUGGAUUGACUAGUUGAACCGGGAACCGGACCUAUGUCUGGUCUGAAAUACAAAGAAAAUGGUUUUGCAACAAACCGGGAAACCAGAUAAAACCGGAUGAACCGGGAAAAGUGACAGGCUACACGGUUUGGCAGGUUGAACCGCAUUUUUAAAAUUUUUGAAAAAAAAAAUCUCAAACCAUAUUUGUUAUGCCAUAAGUUUGAACUAAGAUAAGAUAUGAUGGUUUUAUAGCAAGAAAACAUAAAUCUAAGUAGAAUAAAAAUAUAAAGGAGACCUGAAAUGGAGAUCUAGCUUGUAGAAAAAAUGAAAAGGGUAAUCAUAGUUGGUGGGUUGCGCUACUGCUGCUAUAUAUUUAGAAAUUAGGGUUAGUGUGUCAUUUAUACUUAUAAUAACUGAUAGACUUUUAACUUGUGUACUGAAACUAUUGAAGUAAUACAAUUAAGUUCGUUUCCAUGAGAACCGUGUUAAUCUCAAGUAAACAAUAGCAUUAUGAAAUAAGAUGUGUAAAGUUAUUUUAGUGUCCGAGACAGUAGGUUUGUUGUGCAUAAAAAUUAAAUAAUAGAAAAUAAAGAUUGUUUGAAAAAGUUAUGGAAAGAGAUGAGACUAGGUCUUUCGAAUCAUUUGAUUUUCCAUAAUUGGUACACUACACCUAUUUCUCAUGAAUAUUUCUCUAGUUUUACGAUGAUUAACUAAAAUAGCCAUAAUUAAUCCCUUAACUUAGAACCCUCUUCUCAGAUUACAAUCCCUAAUUCCUUAAAUGAUCUAAUAUCACAAAUAAACGAUUAUUUAUUCGUAGACUAACCCUGCUUAUUUCACUAUGCCAAAAAUGGUUUUAAUAGCACUUUUUUUUGCCUUUAAUAGCGC
rnacentral:lncRNA from 1 species